rnacentral:rRNA from 1 species
GACGAACGCUGGCGGCGUGCUUAACACAUGCAAGUCGAACGAUGAAGCUGGAGCUUGCUCCGGUGGAUCAGUGGCGAACGGGUGAGUAACACGUGAGCAAUCUGCCCUUGACUCUGGGAUAACUGCGGGAAACUGUAGCUAAUACCGGAUACGAGGCUCGAAGGCAUCUUCGGGUCUGGAAAGAAUUUCGGUCAAGGAUGAGCUCGCGGCCUAUCAGCUUGUUGGUGAGGUAAUGGCUCACCAAGGCGACGACGGGUAGCCGGCCUGAGAGGGUGACCGGCCACACUGGGACUGAGACACGGCCCAGACUCCUUCGGGAGGCAGCAGUGGGGAAUAUUGCACAAUGGGCGAAAGCCUGAUGCAGCAACGCCGCAUGAGGGAUGAAGGCCUUCGGGUUGUAAACCUCUUUUAGCAGGGAAGAAGCGAAAGUGACGGUACCUGCAGAAAAAGCACCGGCUAACUACGUGCCAGCAGCCGCGGUAA